UACGUAGGGGGCAAGCGUUAUCCGGAUUUACUGGGUGUAAAGGGGGCGCAGACGGCGAUGCAAGCCAGGAGUGAAAGCCCGGGGCCCAACCCCGGGACUGCUCUUGGAACUGCGUGGCUGGAGUGCAGGAGGGGCAGGCGGGAUUCCUGGUGUAGCGGUGAAAUGCGUAGAUAUCAGGAGGAACACCGGUGGCGAAGGCGGCCUGCUGGACUGCAACUGACGUUGAGGCCCGAAAGCGUGGGGAGCAAACAGG
rnacentral:rRNA from 1 species